rnacentral:lncRNA from 1 species
CAGACCCAUGGACAAACAUCCUAUAGAGAGAUGGUGAUGGCAACCUCAGAUGACGAUGGUGAUGACAGUGGCACAUUCAGGUACCAAUGACGAUGGUGAUGGCAGGCUGAGGCGAUAAUAGUGAUGACAACGGCAGACCAUUCAAUUCCACUGUCGCUCAUAUUUAAACCCUCCUGAUUUCGGAACUGAUUUUGGCCUUUUUCAUAUAAAAUUGUCUAAUAGGUUGAUGGAUAUGAGUCUUGAAGCAUCAUCUGAUGGAUUUGACUGGUGUAUAUGUCGAUGCUACCGGUAGUGCUUCACUAUAUGUGGCCACAAAUGAUUCUGUUUAUCAGAUUUUGGACGUUGGCUCUGCAAAGCCUGAUUUCGGAUCUGAUUUUGGCCUUUUCAUAUAAAAUUGUCUCAUAGGUUGAUUGAUAUGGGUCUUGAAGCAUCAUAUGAUGGAUUUGACUGCAAGAUUGUGUUUUUGGAGGAGGGUGUAGAUGUUGAUGCUACCGGUAGUGCUUCACUAUUUGCAGCCACAAAUGAUUCUGUUUAUCAGGUUAUUUACCUCCACAUAUACAGGCUAUGAUUUCGUAGGCACACAACCAUUUAUGCCCACACUUCAAUGAAGGUCGCUACCUCAUAGGUAUAAUCAAUGUUAUAAAAGAGGCCGUCAUAAACUUCAACUUCUCCAAAGACCUUUAACAGUGAUGCAAGUUCCUGAACAACAUGAUUUCACUGAGAAUAUACGUGCUUAUGAAUUAUAAUUGUAUGUUCUCGAUGACGUCAUUGGUGCAAAGAUUGAUGACUCAAUCAACAAUGGUUCAAGCCCUUAUGUCUUUAAGUACACCGGGAAGAUGUUGGAGGAAAUGGCAGAGUUUUGUGUAUGGGGAAUGGUUUCGGGACCAAGUCAAGGCGGACGGAGUAGCGAUGAUACGUGAUAUUUUUGGCAGCCAAGUUGGAGGUAUUAGGCGCCUGAAAUCGGUGGCCAAAAGGUACCGAAUAGUAGUGAUUUUGGGAUGCCAAGCAAACAUCACAUGGGAUAACAAUGUUGGGUGUUUCAGAUUUGGUUUGUGGCCGAUAGUAGCGUUAGAAUCACAUGUCCAUAAGCAGAUU